rnacentral:rRNA from 1 species
GUGUCAGCCGCCGCGGUAAUACAGAGGUGGCAAGCGUUGUUCGGAAUUACUGGGCGUAAAGGGCGCGUAGGCGGCCUUCUUAGUCAGACGUGAAAUCCCUAGGCUUAACCUAGGAACUGCGUCUGAUACUGGAAGGCUCGAGUUCGGGAGAGGAAUGUGGAAUUCCAGGUGUAGCGGUGAAAUGCGUAGAUAUCUGGAGGAACACCGGUGGCGAAGGCGGCAUUCUGGACCGAAACUGACGCUGAGGCGCGAAAGCCAGGGGAGCAAACGGGAUUAGAUACCCGCGUAGUCC